rnacentral:misc_RNA from 2 species
CCAAGGUAGGAUUGAUGAUUAGGGUGAAGUCGUAACAAGGUAUCCGUACGAGAACGUGCGGANGGAUCACCUCCUUUCUAUGGAGUUAAUACUUUAUAGUAAUUAACUAGUUUUAAUGACCGUUAUGUUUAGUUUUCAGAGAUUAGUUUCUCUGACAAUAGCAAAUAAAUGUUAUUGGAAUUGUUCUUUGAAAACUGGAUAAUAGACAUCUAGUUAUUUUAAUCAAGUGAUUAAAAUAACAAUAAUUCAAAAUUUCUGUUAUUUUUUAAAAAUAACUAAAAUUUCACAGUUAUAUUUGUAAAUAAUUCUCAAAAACUGAUUUAAAAUCAUGUCAAAUAAUUUAUAAAACUUUGAAGUUACAAAGGG